UCAUAUACACCCCCAAAAUAAAGAGCUUUGAAUACUAGAAGAAAAGCACCUAUACCUAACAAAAUUAAGUGAAUACCCAAAAUGGUAGUCAUUUAUUUCUAUCUUUCCA
rnacentral:antisense_RNA from 1 species